GUUGUCUCUACAAAAACUUUAAAUAAAAUUGGAACGAUAUACAGAGAAGAUUAAUAGUGCCCCUGCACAAGAAUGAUAUGCACAAAUCGAGAAAUGAUCCGACCUAAG
rnacentral:snRNA from 1 species